rnacentral:misc_RNA from 1 species
AAAGUCGUAACAAGGUCUCCGUUGGUGAACCAGCGGAGGGAUCAUUAAAAAUAGGGCACUUAUGCGCUAUACACCACUGUCAACAUACCCUGUCUCGUUGCCUCGGCGGGCGGCUCCCGGGGGAGCCCUCCUGGCCAUCGCGGUGCUCGCCGGCAGCGACCCCCCCUUCUCUACUCUGAACGUCUCCUCUGAGUGGCACGCUGAAAAGCAAAAAAUUUAUCAAAACUUUCAACAACGGAUCUCUUGGCUCUG